ensembl:lncRNA
GCAAUACCAGAUCCCACUGAGCCACAAUGGGAACUCCUGAUUAUAUUCUGUAAUAUAUUUUGAUCAUCUCAAAUACUACUGAUUUCUGAAAAGAUCCUCUGACUUACAUCCCUCAGUGCUGAGAUCACAUCAUACUCUGCCCAAGCAUCAAUGGCUUUAGCAAUGAACAUCUGGCAGAAAAAGAGACCGGUUUUGGCCUAGAGUUUACUAAUGAGAAGAAUUCACAGGAGACUUGUAAAGUGAAAAUGAAGAAGGACAAGAUAUCUGUAGUAGCUUUUCCCACUCGCUUUGCCACUGAAGACUGAAACAACAGGUGUGUCAUCUCAGAGAGUCUCC